ensembl:lncRNA
CCUGACUCUGCCAUUGUACUGAGCAGCCAGCGUCGAGGACCGCUGUGAGGACAGGCAGGGAUUUUGUUGUGCAGGUGCUCGUGUCAACCGUGGCUCUCUGCUUGCUGUUCUGAACAGGAGUGCCGAUGGAGACUGGCCUGCUCUGGGAUGUAUCCACUUGGAUUUUCUCUGUGGAGAACUCCAGAUGAAGAAAAGAAGAGAUUUUGAGCAAAUUGUAAGAAAAGUCGUGGCUACUGAAAUGCCUCAGAAGGAGGUGACACAUAGGAAAAACAGAUUCUCUAUCUCUCAGAUGACAUCUCAAUCUCACUGCUGUCACCACUUGGAAAGAAUUUUGAGUGAAAGAAGUAAAAUGCUUUUCUAGUAGAAAUCCCUUGUCUGAAGGUCACAGAAGCCUACAUAUGGAUUGGCUGCGGGAAUUCUGAUACCCUCCCAGAUAUUUUUAAAGAAUCCAGAAGAGUCCAGGAUUAAAGGGAAGAGCAAGGUAAGGCUUGCUCUGUCCCAUCACCUUUUGUACCCAAUUCCUGCUCUGGAAUAAAUCACUGGCCUCUCCUUUCUCUUUAGCCUCCCACAGCUGCUGUCCCUCUCCCCAUGUGUGGACAUACCCUUCCUUCCUCAUUCAGCCAGUAGCAUGAGCCCAAUGCGAUUGAGUGUAAGAGACUUAGUGGUAUUUGGGGUGAAAUGGAGGGUACUACAUUGUAGCACAAAAUAACAUAGAACCUGAAACCAUGUUUUCAGCCUUCUGGCCAAAGAAAAGUUUUCAGAAAAUAUCUUCGCCCUGAGGCUGCCUGCUCUUGCCAGGGGUUGGGGCCACUUUCACCAUGGCUCUAAAACUUUCCUCUUUUGUUUUCCAUUUCAGGAUUCCCAUUCUCUUCCAAAGCAUCAAAGAGAAUAUAACCAGAAUUUUUUUUUGCUGGGAGAAGAUUGUCACUGAGCUAACAUCCAUUCUGGUUUUCUCUGAGGACCAUUGUAAAAAUUCAUUCUCUUGGGUACUAUCUCAAGCCUAAUAAGAAGAAUUUAGGGAGGGAGGUAGGUUGAGUUCAGAGCCCAUGAUUCUGAAAUUCAAAGACUCUUCUUGUGUUAUACUUAGGUAGCUGGUCUCAGGACAGGCCAUUAGGAGCUGCUGCCAGAGAGCACAAUCCUCCGCUAAGAUAAAAAGACAAUGGGGAAGAUCCGUCUCUUAGGAAACCAGCUUGCUACCUCCAGGGACAGUACCCAGGAAGAAGGAGACCUGCCACAGCAUGGCUUGACAAGCUGUGUGUAGGUCCACACCCGGGAUCCGAACCAGCGAACCCUGGGCCACCAAAGCGGAAUGUGUGAACUUAACCACUGAGCCACCAGUCCUCGUCCUGCUCAACUCCCCCUGACUUUUGAGCUCACCACCUCUACACUGCUUUUGGUGGAGCCACCAAAAAUGUGAGUUGCCAAAUUUACUAGCAUUUUCAAACAUUUUGCUCCUUUGUUGGCAGUAUUUCACACUGUUAACCGCUCACUCCUUUCUUGAAACUCUUUUCUUCCUAAAGUUUGGUGACUGUGUUCUCCCUAUUAAGUGCUGACCUCUUUGGCUUCAUUUUAUCUGAUAUAAUUAUAACAGAUAAUAAUAUUUGUAGCGGUAUUUAUAAAGUGCUUCCUAUGUUCUAGGUACAUGUCUCUCAUUUAAAUUUCACAGCUGCUCUGUGAGGUAGUUCUUCUUAUUAUUAGCACUAUUUAGCAGAGGAGAAGUCUGGGCCUCUGAAGGGUUUAGUGAAUUGGAUCAAGGGACACAGUCACUAACGUGUGGAGCCAGGAUAAAAGCUGAGGGCUCUCAGGCUCUCGUCACCUGCUGGCUGGCAUCCCUGUGCCUAUCCAUCUCCUUUGCUCUCUUCUCUUCUCCCUCUGCACCUUCCCUGAAUAAUUCCACUCAACGUCACACUUUCAUCUACCUCUUAAACACUGAGGACUUCUAUAUCUCUCUUGGACUCUAGACCUCGUGCCCAGCUGCCUAGAUGGACAUUGUCACCUGGACGUCCCCAGUGGCCUUCACACUGAACAUGCCCCACACUGUUCCCUGUCAGCCUCCUUGUCACCUUUGGUGCCGUCAUCUUUCAUGCAAUUGUUCCACUAGAAACUGGGAGGAGUUCUUAGAGUCCUCCCUCUCGUGACUUGCUCGUAUCCAAGCCAAGACGUCUAGAAGAAUCUUCCUAAAUAUCUCUCUCAUUCAUCACAUCCAUUCCCUCUGCUCUCACAGCCUUGACUUGAAUACAACUUCUCGGCUUCCCUCAUUUACCCCGUUCAGGACUCCCCUUACCUGUUUUCCUGCUCUUUAGCCCGAGGACCUCUGUCUAAUCUGCACUUUGUGUUCUUUCCAACAUUAAGUCUGAUUAUAUUACACUGAAUUCUUCAGGUUCAUCACAGCAUGACAGGAGUUUCCUUUUUUCUUUUUUUUUAAAGUAAGAGGAUCCUGUUUGCAUUGAAAACUUAUGAGAAACUCUGAUAAAUACGACAGAUAAAAGUUGGAGAACAAUUCGCUGAGACUUGUCUGCUUGGCCUCCACUUCUUCCCUGAAAGGGCUUCAUUCACUCACUCAUCUGUGUGCGAGCACUGUUCUAGGCCCUGGGAAUAAACCAGGGAGCAAAGAUCAACCUAAGUCCUGCCUUCAGAGGGCUUACAUUCUAGUCAUGGUAGACAUACAAGGAGAUAGUGAGAAAACUAAUAAAUAAGGGAAUGUGUAAUAUGUUGGAUGGCAUGAAGAAAAAAUAAGCUUGAUGAGAGAUUAGGAAAACCUGAGGUGGGGGUGGGUUUGCUACUUAUAAUAAGGCAGCCAAGAACAGCUUCUCUAAUAGCUUGAUAUUUGGUCAGAGACUUAAAGGAGGUGACACAGGAGGUCUUGGGUGUGUUACCAAAUAGCCCUCCAGGCCUAGGGAAUGGAAUGCCAAAGCUCUGAGGUCUCAAAACCAGAGGCCAGCGUGGCUGGAGAUGUGUGGGUGAGGGGACAGGGUAGGGCGUGAGGCCACAGAGACCUGGAGGCAGAAGGUCAGGUCACAUGAGGCAUGGAAGACCAUUGUGCCGACUUGAUCAACCUGUCCUCUGAGUGAAGCAGGGAGCCUCUGAGAGUUUUGAGCAGAAGAUCAACGUAAUGUAAUUUGGGUUUUGAAAGUAAAAUGGGUGUAUUGGUGGUAGGCCAUGAGGGGGCAAAGGUGGAAGCAGAGAUCAUCCAGAAGGCUAUUCCCGAGCACCAGGUGAGAGACGGUGGUACCCUGACCAGGAGAGGAAGGGCUGAGAGGCGGUCAGACGUAGGACAGGUUCUCAAGGUCAAGCUGACAGAGGUUUCUAAUGGAAUUGUGGUGCAGAUCCAGAGCGCUGUCUGAAAACUGCAGGUCCAGGAGAUAAACUCUUAGAGGCCUUUACAAAGCCUCGAGACUCCCCCCGACCAGGGCCUCACCACAUGCCCAGACUCGGCAGCUUUCACCACCUCCAUGCUACCUGUGCCAGUGAUGCUUGUUAAUUUGGAGCCCGCCACCCUCUCUCCAGCCUCCUGCCUUUGCAUGCGCUGUUUCUUCUUCCUCCAUCUGGACCACUUUGCAAACAACCUUUAAAUCUCAGUUCAAAUGCCACUCCCUCUUUGGGAUCUUUCCUUCCUCCCCAGGUCUGUUUCGAUGCUUCUUGCUCUAUGCUUCAAUUUUCGUUCAUAAUCCCACCAAAGCAACCACUUGGUGUAUUGUGACUAAUUGCCGCUUUCUCCCCUAGGUCGUUCAACUUCUUGAAUGUCUAGACUGAGCCUUUUCAUUUGGUUUCCUCAGGACUUACCAUGAUGCCGGCAUGUAAUGGGUGUUUUAUAAGCAUUUGUUGAAUAAUAAAUAAAUGUUUUAGCUUCAAAACUCAUUUCACAGUGUGAGUGGUGCUCAGUGUGUCUAACUUUGGUAAUAAGAGCCACGGGUCCGGAUUCUUCCCUACGUUGUUCCGCGGUGUGAGGGGAAUUUUGGAACGACACUCCAAUGGGAC